AUCCCGAGCUAUCCGGAGGAGCUUUUCUCCUAAAACUGUACAAUACAGAUCAAGGGUUUAACUUAUGAUUGAGGAACAAUGAUCUGAAUACGACAAUAAGGCGUUGUGGCAUUACCAGAGUAUGUCCACCCAAGAGUGCUUCUAUGUCCUUGUUGGUUAAGUCCAUUCAGUAGAUGAAAUCCCUAAGGUGUGAAGCACCUGGUCAGAUGAUAACAUAUGCACUGAAUUAUUAUUUACUUCCCACAACUGAACUAUCACUGGCUGAAAACAGGAAAAAAAAUGUGCAUGAACUGAAAAAGCAUUACCUCACGUUCCAGCUCAAGCCAAAUGUUCUUCUCUACGCUCCUUUUCUCCAUCAUGCGAUAGGCUGUACUGCUGCAAUCUAUCUGCUCUCCAAAAUUUUCAAAUCUGCUAGGAACAAGUUCUAAACAAAAUAUUCAGAGAAAAAGACAGUUAGACAGGAACAUAGCACUGUCCUUUCUAGUUUCUACGGACUCUGGUUUUAACAAACAAGCUGAGUAACUUAUAAAGUUGCUAUCUUUGCACAGAAUAAUCACUGUUAUACCAAUAAAACAGAACAAACUAUUAAUUGAAGCAUCAGUACACCCUAUCAGGAGGUGUACAGCCUACUUACUCAUCUGCUACUUCAGUACAGACAGGUUCUUCUGCAACAGUAGCUACAUCUUCUGACUCUUGUUUCUCAGAUGGAGCAGCUUGGUUGUUCUUACCGUGCAUUGCCUACAAGCCGUCAAAAUCAAUUAGCCCAAUGCAAACGAGCAGUAAUAUAUGCAUAAAUGUGGGAGAACCCCAGAGUUCUUUCACAUAAAAAGUAAAGGAGCAAAUUUAAUCGAUCUAUUCAACCAGAGCAAUUCAUCCGAAAGGGACCGUUACAAUUAUGUUGUACAUACUACUACACAGCA
rnacentral:lncRNA from 1 species